rnacentral:rRNA from 1 species
UACGUAGGGUGCGAGCGUUGUCCGGAAUUAUUGGGCGUAAAGGGCUCGUAGGCGGUCUGUCGCGUCUGCUGUGAAAACUCGGGGCUUAACCCCGGGCCUGCAGUGGGUACGGGCAGACUAGAGUGCGGUAGGGGAGACUGGAAUUCCUGGUGUAGCGGUGAAAUGCGCAGAUAUCAGGAGGAACACCGGUGGCGAAGGCGGGUCUCUGGGCCGUAACUGACGCUGAGGAGCGAAAGCAUGGGGAGCGAACAGG